AUAAAGUAUUUCAUUGAUGUAAACAAUUAGCUAUACCAAUUAAACUACAUAUGGCAGCCCACACAUAUUGUGCAUUCAGGACAGAUAUAAGAGGAAUCUUUAAAAGAUUCCGUCUAUAGCAUAUAAUCCCGAGACUAUCCUCACCUAGUCUAAGACUCAUCCACAACACCAAUGUCUUAUAUUAUUAUAGUUAGGAAACUAAGCCCUAGAAAACAAGUAAGAGGGAUGGCAAAAGUGGUGCCAGCAGUCGCGGUUAUACCACUAUCCCUAGCUAAUUUCAACAAACAAAGAUAGCCCUCAAAAUAGAUUUUAAGAUCAACUUUUUAUGUAAAAAGUACAUUAUAAACACACCCGUAUAAACCCUAAUACCCUAUCUAUACAAACCACAACCUCAGAACUCGGAUUAGAUACCCGAUUACUGUGUGGCCCAACACAAAAAAGAAUACUACAAACGAAAGUUUAAACCUCAAACAAUGUGGCGGUGCUUUACUUCCUCAUCAGGGGAUCCUGUGGCUUAAACCGAUAACCCACGAUUAACUCAAGCUUUUCUUUGCACUCAGCUUGUGUAUGGCCGUUUAUGCUUGCUCAUAGAAGACUUAAAAGGAAGCAAUUGGAUUAACCUCCACCAAUUCAGGUGACAUACAGCCAAUGAAAAGCUGCCCCAUGGGAUACAAAUAAAAAGCAUUACUGAACUACAAUCUUAAAAGUUGUACAAAAGAGGACUUGAAAGUAAGACCAUAAACUUAUAAAAUAGAUCUGAACAAGACCUAAAGCGCGCACAAAUCGCCCGUCACUCCGGUAAGAAAGCCGGAUAAGUCGUAACACAGUAGGGGUAAUGGAAAUUGCCCCUAUCCAAA
rnacentral:ncRNA from 1 species